AUCCUGUGUUUCUUAUUAAAUCCACUGUUUUACUACAUUUUAUGUUCCAGCACAAAUCAAACCAUAAACCAAACGAUCAACCAGGAUGAAGCUGGAGACAGCCAACAUGCUUCUCCUCACCGAGGUGAUGCUUGUCUCUAUGAAUCAGUCAAAGACCACGAUGACACAAAAAAUGUUGAAUCUGGGGAUGUCACAUAUUCUUUGAUUGAGUUUAAAAACAUCACUCAGAAAGAUGAGAGCCCGUUGUAUGCAGAGGUCUCCCACAAGAGAGCUAAAGCCAAGAGAAACAAGG